UACGUAGGGUGCAAGCGUUGUCCGGAAUUAUUGGGCGUAAAGAGCUCGUAGGCGGUCUGUCGCGUCUGCUGUGAAAACUCAGGGCUUAACCCUGAGCUUGCAGUGGGUACGGGCAGACUAGAGUGCGGUAGGGGAGACUGGAAUUCCUGGUGUAGCGGUGAAAUGCGCAGAUAUCAGGAAGAACACCGAUGGCGAAGGCAGUUCUCUGGGACGGUACUGACGCUGGAGAACGCGAAAGCGUGGGGAGCGAACAGG
rnacentral:rRNA from 1 species